ACCAUUCACCAGGGGUGCCCCGGCAAGGGGCUGAGAUUCUGCUGAACAAUACGGCUUUGCCUGUUGUGGCGCGGUGACCCGUUGAACCUGAUCCAGUUCAUACUGGCGUAGGGACGGUGCGGACCUGCGGCU
rnacentral:ncRNA from 12 species